UACUUAAGCAAACCUCAAAGAAGUGAUCAUUUUGAAUAUUUAGUAAAAGCACUCAUGAAAAUUACAAAAAAGGAGAUAGUGUUGAACAUUUCAGUUUUAAAUAACAAAUAUACUCCCCUAAAGGAAAGAUAGUGUUUCCUAAUCAGAGAUGUUAUACUGCAAUUUCUUUACUAUUAGAUAGCCGCUGGGUACUAUAGGCUGCCAGGGAAGAUGAUCAAGGGCAAUGUGCUAACAUCACAGUAAUGCAUAUUCAACUGGACAUAUACAAAGAUAAUAUAUGUCUAAAUCAUAUCUCUCCUUAAUUAGAUCUAUAACACAGAACUAUAAUUUUUCUCUUUGUGUGAAUGAAACCCGAGUCUAUUUUACUUCAUAAUUGAGAUUUUAUGCACACAGAAUGUUUUUUUUAAGUUUAAAAGGAAUACUUUUUUUUUUUACUUUUGUUGUGUGAAAUAUAUGAUGACUUUAUGUAGAUCCCGAAUACUUAAGCAAACCUCAUAGAAUUGACCAUUUUGCAUAUUUAGUAAAAGCACUCAUGAAAAUUACAGAAAGGAGAUAGUGUUGAACGUUUCAGUUUUAAACAGCAAAUGUGCUCAACUAAAGAAAAGACAGUGUUUUCUAAUCAGAGAUUUUGUAUUGCAAUUUCUUUACUAUUAUAGAUUUCAGUAAAAAUUGAGUGAGUUGAAAAUUCCAGCCACCAUCGAAUGCAAUGCCCUAGGAAACAGGCUCCAAAAAUACACUGACCUUGUCACAACCUCAAACACUCACUUCUAAACGGUUCAGCUAAACAGAACUGCACUUGCUAUGCCACAGAGGUACUAAUAGCAAUUUUAGGUGGCUGUCACUUUAAAAGUAGCCAUCAACUCUGUCUAAAUAUACAUUAUUUUUAUAUAAAAACCCUGGUAUCAUCUUUCAACAUAUAUUUCAAAGGGAGCUGAUACAGUGAAUAAGCCUUAAAAGCUACUACAUUUUCUUGUUAUGCUACUGAGAAAGAAAAUUGUAGUCAUUAGUCAAAAUGUGAAUAAAAUUGGUUAUGUGCUACAUAGUGACCUUGAUAUUGAUUUUUAAAGAAAUAUUCUUAUAACCUGCAUGAUACCAAAACAACUACUGUUUCACAACCUCACCUCUAUAAAGAAACUAUUUUCCAUUUGAGAACAUUAUAUAUUUGACAGUUAAAGAAAGAGCAUAUUGGCCAAAAACAUUUUAGUAGAUGGGAGUAUAAUGGAGUUGAGAAACGAUAUUAUAGUACUAUAACUAUUACAGCUUUAGGCACAGAGAUUCUUUUACAAUUAUCUUAAGCUUUAUGGAAUAUUGGAUGAGAAGUCUUGCACAUAAAAUAACACAACUAGCUUCAAAUGCUACAUACUGUAUUCGAGACUGAUAAAGUUAACCCUAUAAUAGGUUCCUUUGUUUCAUUGCCCAGUUCAAUUAAUGGUUGUAUUUUUUUAGUGACAUGUACUUGUUUUCUUAAUGUCUCAAACAAACUCCAAGUCUAUAUAGGUUUUCUAAGCAAACACUAGUAGUUUGAAAAGAUGAUACCCAUGAGCCUCAGGCAAUCUCUAGGUGGUUUUAGUACUUAGGAUUUCAACUGAGAAAGGUGUCAAUUAGCUCCAAUUUAGAGGAUGACAUUCAUGAAGUGGCCUCUAAUGUAACAUAAAAUAUUGAGGGAAUAGAGUGACAUUUUUCCUCGGGAUAUAUACGGAGUCCAAUGUAUGCAGCAUUCUAUGCCACUGUCUGCCUGAGACAAAGACUGCCAGAGCCAACACAUUUAAAUAGAAAAUGAAAUCUCAAUCUUUUAGUUUGGCUUUACAGAGACAAUCAUACAGUUCGAAUCUUUGGAAGGCUGUUGAUGUCUGACUAGUUAAGCACUUGAAUCUUUUGAUUUUAAGUCUGUUGUGUAUGUGCAUACACCAUGCAUGUUUGCAUGGGUGUUGUUACUCAGCAACUAUAUUGAAAAAUAUAAAACAGUUUUAUAAAAUAUUUUGUGGAGCUUUUAUAGAUGCAAGUAAUGUAUGUUUGGACCAAAUUUAUUCACAUCCCAUUUCCAUCAAUCUGUACCCUGUCGUCCCAUAUGGUUUCUUCCCAUCUUAAUACUUGCCUCUCUUCUUCCAUCAGCUUCACCUCUCACUCCCCUCUUUUCUUUUUCUAUCCUCUGUGGUUUUUAGUGUUGUCUCUAUGUACAUGAGUGUGGGAUCAAAUAUUUCAGCAUAUAUAGACUGUCAAAUAUCCGCCUAUGGAAAAAAAGAAAUUAAAAGCUGACUCUUCGUACUCCAAGAGCCAUUAGUUUGCAAUAGGCCCUCAGAUGUGGGUGAAACGUCAUUAGGCCCCUUUUUUUCACAGAUGGAUUUCAGCACCCUGUAACUUGUAAAUUAUUGUGCACUCUGCCUUUUGAUCUAUGAGUUUGAUCUAGAGAGAGAGAGAGAGAGAGAGAGAGAGAGAGAGAGAGAGAGAGAGAGAGAGAGAGCUCUUUAGUUAUACCUAUAUAUGUUCUCUGGUCUUUAGAAUUUUUUUAUCAUCACACCCCUACUUUGUUAUAUCCUUUGGUCAUAGAGUAGGGGUGAAUUAUAAAUGUCCUGUUUAUAGUGAGCUUGCAGUUUCCUAUUCUCUGAACAUUGAAUAUUUGUGGUUAUCCUUAUUGAAUUCCACUCACUGCAAGAAGACUUCUCAAAUAGAAGUUGAUAGAUGGAUUAAUCUUUGAAUAGAAAAGUAACAAGUUAGGGGGCAGUUUACUCUUAUGUCCAUGUAACAAAUCAUAAUACUAUGUCUUUUCUCAGUGAGCAAUGGCCUGUUUGCCAUAGUAUUUUGGUCAACUAAUGAAGCACACACUUCUUGGUAGAGUGAUGUUCCUUGACAAACAGAAAGCAAAUGAUUACUACCUUAAAAUUUGUGUCACUAAUACACUGGUAGAUGCAUUGGUCCAGGGCAGUUAUUAUCUCAGCGUCCAGAGUUGACAGCUGGGUAAACCUGUUAAUGAAUUUGUCUUCUUAUCUAGUAGCAUGCAGAGGAUAUUCUACUUCUGUGAACAUGAUCCAGUGGUUUUAAAUUUAACUCUAAACAUGGGAAACAACAUGAAAAUUAUUGCUCUGAGUUAUUCAAUCAAUGUGUUAACG
rnacentral:lncRNA from 1 species